UCCAGCAAUGCCGCGUGUGUGAAGAAGGCCUGAGGGUUGUAAAGCACUUUCAGUGGGGAGGAGGGUUGAUUGGUUAAGAGCUGAUUAAUUGGACGUUACCCACAGAAGAAGCACCGGCUAACUCCGUGCCAGCAGCCGCGGUAAUACGGAGGGUGCGAGCGUUAAUCGGAAUUACUGGGCGUAAAGGGUGCGUAGGUGGUUUGAUAAGUUAUCUGUGAAAGCCCUGGGCUCAACCUGGGAAGGCCAGAUAAGACUGUUAGACUUGAGUAUGGGAGAGGGUAGUGGAAUUUCCGGUGUAGCGGUGAAAUGCGUAGAGAUCGGAAGGAACACCAGUGGCGAAGGCGGCUACCUGGCCCAAUACUGACACUGAAGCACGAAAGCGUGGGGAGCAAACAGGAUUAGAUACCCUGGUAGUCCACGCCGUAAACGAUGUCAACUAGCUGUUGGUCAUAUGAAUGUGAUUAGUGGCGAAGCUAACGCGAUAAGUUGACCGCCUGGGGAGUACGAUCGCAAGAUUAAAACUCAAAGGAAUUGACGG
rnacentral:rRNA from 1 species